AUCGAUGUUUUGAAACCCCAAACCCUGGUUCCUCAGAAUUUCCUCGGUAAAUUCCGAGGAAAUUCCGAGGAAACCUGGUUCCUCAGAAUUUCCUCGGUAAAUUCCGAGGAAAUUCCGAGGAAACCUGGUUCCUCGGAAUAUUUUCAUUUAACCGGGUAAACCAAGCCGCCAAAUAUUUCGCGAAAAUUGAAUUAAUGAUUUCCGAGGAAAUUCCGACGGAUAUUGUAAAUAUUUCCGAGGAAAUUCCGACGGAUAAUUUCCGUCGGACCCCUCAUUUUAUUAGGUCGAGCCCGACCUUCUUCCCCAUUUCUCUCCGCCGCACUCUCUCUUUCCCCUGCGAUUUCGUCGACUCCUCUCUUCUCCCUUGCGAUUUACGGCGCUUUCUCUCUUCUCCCUCGCGAUUUCCACCCUAAUCCUCAUGUAUGAACCCUAUCCCACUCUUUUAGGUUAGAUUUGUAUGGUUUUUAAGUAGAUUUGAUGAUUUUGGAAUGAGAUUUAUAGAUUUUGUUAGGGUGAAUGGUAGAUUUGUGUAAAAUCGAGUUUGAUUAUGUAUUUCACUUGAUUUGAAUUUUUUUUUUUUAGUUUUUAUUAAUUUUGUGGUUAUAAAAAUCGAAUUUGUAAUUAUAUAUAUAUAUUGAAAACGUUUUUUGUAUAUAAAAUCUAUUUUUUGCAUUUUAAAUUAAUUUAUAUAUUUAUUAAACAUUUUUAAAAUCUAUAAAACUUUUUUUAAGAUUAAAAAUCAUAUAUAUAAUAUUUAAAAUCAUUUUUUUGUGGUUAUAAAACGUUUUAUGUAUUUUAUAUAUAAAAUAUAAAUUUCUAUAUUUAUUAAACAUUUUUAAUAUUAUGAAAACUAUUUUUUGUAAUUAUUUAACAUUUUAAAUAUUUUUAUAACUAUUUUUUGUAAUUAUUAACUGUUUUUUGCGAUUUAUUUAAACUAUUUUUUUAAUUUUUAUACUAUUUUAUAUUUAUUAAAACUAAUUUU
rnacentral:lncRNA from 1 species